rnacentral:rRNA from 1 species
GGGGGGGCGAGCGUUUGUUCGGAAUUACUGGGCGUAAAGGGCGCGCAGGCGGCAGAGGAAGUUUCAGGUGAAAGCCCCCGGCUCAACCGGGGAAGGUCCUGGAAAACCACACUGCUGGAGUGCUGGAGAGGCAAGCGGAAUUUCUGGUGUAGCGGUGAAAUGCGUAGAUAUCAGAAGGAACAUCGGAGGCGAAGGCGGCUUGCUGGACAGACACUGACGCUGAGGCGCGAAAGCCAGGGGAGCGAACGGGGAUUAGAUACCCCGGUAGUCCUGGCCGUAAACGAUGGGUACUUGGUGCGGGGGUAGGAAAUUCCCCCCCCGGUGCCCGGCGAUAACUCGUUAAGUACCCCGCCUGGGGAGUACGAUCGCAAGAUUG